rnacentral:lncRNA from 1 species
CGGUACGCAUGAAGGAAGUUAGUAAAAAUUGAUUUUGAUUGAGGAGAGCAUGAUGUGGGAGAUGUUUUGUGUUUGUGAAUUGUUGCAGGGUUUGUGAGAUCGCCUGUGAGUGCUAGGAAUCCCUUGAGGCAAGGUGUGGCAAUGGGAAAUGGUGGGAGGGUUACAUGGUAAUUUUUCAGUAAGAGAUUAAUAAUUUGUGUAAUUUUUGAAAGUAACAGAAAAGGGAAAAAUAGAAUGAAUGAAUGGUGACAUUUGUGAAUGGUGAUUGAAGCUUCCAGAGGAAUUGGCUGCGCGCAGAUUACAGUGUGAUCGGGUUUGGGUUGAUCGGUUGGUUAGCACCUUCCAGCAUACCGGCUAUCGGCGGUAAAAGUCUGACUGGCCUCUUCUUUGAGAGCAUUGGAGCUGAGCUUGCUCACUUCCCCACUCCUCCUGCUGUUACUUCCCAGUUCUGGUUAGUCACUUCUCCAUUUUUUGUAGGACAAAUUGUUAUAGAAUACACCGAUGAAGUCAAAAUUAAACAGUAACGCCUUAAUUUGAAACAAUUACGCUUUAAUUAUUAAUUAUUACUUUUCUUUUCAUGAUAAAUAAUCGAUAAAAUUUUAGUUAAACAUGAAACACAUAGUGUUAACAAUAAAAAUAAAUUUUUAAACUAAUGAAAAAUGACUGUUCUAAUACUUCUACAAACCUUUUAAAGUAAAAUAAAACCCUAUUAGAGUUUCUUUCAAUACUCUUAAUUAACUACUGCAACAAAAAUAUACUCAAUGUAAUUCUUCUUUUAAAUACAUGUUGUUCGUUCACAAAACUAAAUAUCGACAUGCUAUUUACUCUGUUUGUUUUAGAGAAACAACUGUUUUUUUUUCAAAACAACAGAAAAAAAAUUAAAAAUAUUUUUUUCAAUAAUAGCUCCUAGUUAAAUUUUUAUUUUGGCUAGUUAAGAUUUAUAAUAGUUUUGCCUAAUUUUGAAGACAGAAGUAUGAAAAGAGUGGACUUGGGCUUAAGCCCAUUUUGUUCAGUGACCCAACCCAAACAAAUAACAUUUGAAAAACCAUAAGUAAAAAAGAAAUUAUCAUCAAAACAAAAGGUCCCACCGAGAUUUGAACUCGGGUUACUGGAUUCAGAGUCCAAUGUCCUAACCACUAGACCAUGGGACCAGAGAUGAAAACAAAAGCAAUUUGUUGCUUAAUAAACUGUAAAACUGUAAACACAUUUUGAAGAAGAGAAGACAUAAUAAUGAUUUGGUGAGACAUGUUAUUCCCAGGUUAUGGCUGGUUACAUGGCACCUUGGGUUGUUCCUGUGUCUCACUUUUGGGCAAAUUGGUUUCAAGGGAAGGACUGAAGACUACUUUUGAAUUCCAAACCUAUGGUCUGUUUUCACUUUCUUUUUUGUUUCUCCUUUUGUGCCUUGCAACUGCAAUCUAUGAUGUAUAACUCUAUAUGCUACCUUUUACCUUAGAAAUCCGUGUAAUAUUGUCUUCAUAAUGUUGUAUAUUAUUAUUGCUGUUGUACUACCUUCUUCCUCAUCAAUGUCCCAGCUUUUACCCCACCAAUUUUUUCAAACCCUACAGUUUACUUUCAGUAAUCUAUCAUUCUCAUAAUUAUUCAUCAACAAAAAGAAACCAUCUCAAUUAUGCUAGUAUUUUCAAAAUCCAAAUGUUUCAUUAGACACUUUUGUUUUUAUAUUUUCAAAACAAGUAAGUUAAUAUUAGUUUAUACAUAAAUUAAUUUGUAAAACUUAUGUUUUAUUAUUUUUCUCUUUUAAAGGUUUCUAAAGAAAAAAAUUUGUAAUAGAUAAACAAAUAGCAUGUGUUGUGAUAGAACUAAUUACAAGCCAUUGUCACAACACAAUAUGAAUUCAUAUACUUUUAGCAGUUUCUAUUUUAUGAAACACCAACAUUUUUUUUUUCUGAAGAAACAAUGUGGUGGUCAAAGUUGCACCUAACAAUUAUGAAACACACAACCUUAAUGACAAUUUUUUACAACAUUAUUCUUCCUUUGAUAAAGCAUUGCCCCACAUAUACAAUCUUUGAGUUACUCAAAGAAAAUGAUCAAUUUUUGUAAUUAGGUUGUACUUAUGAGUAUGUCAUUUAAGAGGAACCACUCACUAUUAUUAGAGGAACUUGUGUGAAUAGAAGAGACUUCUUAAGUCAAAAAGGGGAUGGUGCUUAAAAAAGAAGAUGUAUGCGACUUUAAGAGAUCCAAGAAUAUUUCUUGUGAAAGAUUAUUUAUCAUUUUUAUGUAACUUUUUGAUUAAGGGAUUAAAGUUUAUAAGAUAUUGCUGAUUUUUUUAUAGAUAAAAUUUGUAAUCUUGUUUUGAUGUAGCAAAUAUUUAUUUUAUUCGAGCAUUUUGUAACAUGGAAAAGAUGCAUAAAAUGAUUUUACAUAAAUACUGUUUAUUAAUAGUUUUACUGAUUAAAAUCAGAAUUUAUAUGUUAAUAAACAAAAUUUAUAAGGAUUAAAAAUAGUAAUUCAAAAUUUAUAAAGAUAAUAAACAAAAUCCAAACCCAUUAGUUUUACGGUAUCUAAAAAUUAAAUAUAAAUAUAUAUUAAUUUCAGAUAAUGUGAUAACAGAUAAAUCAACAUUGAAUUAUAUAAAUAACUAUAGAGAUUAUAAACCCGUUAGAGUAACUUUUAAUAAAAUUAUUUACUUUUAUAAUAUAUAUAUAUAUAUAUAUAUAAUUUUACUCGUAUAAUCAUUAAAUUAAAAAAUUUCACUGAAUAUAUUAAGUUUACAAAAUUGUAUUGCUAUUUGAAACUUCAUAAAAUAAUUCAAUUCCUCAUAUAUUAUACUUUUAAGAAGUAUAAGCAAAUAUAAAUAUUGACUGCAAAUAUUUAAGUUAUUAAAAUUUUGAUUAGAAUAUUGUGAAAUUAGCUUAAAAAAUUUAAUAGUUAAAUUGCUCAGUUUAUAUUUAUAUAUAUAUAUAUAUAUAAUUAAUAGAUAGUGUUCUAGAUAAGAGCAUAAACAAUCUUUACUUUUCAAAGUGGUUAAGAAUAAGAAUAUUCUUUUACUAUUAGAUGAUUUUUACUAUAACAUACUAUAUUAUAUAUAUGGACACAUUCCUAAUCUUCACUUUACGGUUAUAAUUAUGUUUUACGGUUAUGAUUGUGUUUUAAUUAAGUAAUUAAGCUUAAUUAUUCAGAUAUUUUGAUAUGUGCUAUUAUUUUGAGUCACCCAAUAGUACUGUGGUUACUUUUUUAUAUAAUUAUGUUUCUUCAUUCUCUUAGCUAGUAAUAUAUUUUUGUGUGAAUAAUACGUUUUCAUUCUCCAACAUCAAUGCAAGGUACCUUAUGAUACUUUGCUGCAAUUAUAAUCGGUUAUAAAGAUAAUCCAUUAUUGACUCUUAAAUGGCUAAAUAUAUAUUGUUAUGGAUUCAAAAUUUUCAUUUUCAUUUUUUGAAAACGAAACUUAUAUGCAUUUAAUUUGUAAACAAUAAAAAUUAAAAAAAAAAUGGAUGGGAAAGGUUUGGUACGAAUUCUUUAGAAGCUAAUGAUAGUUUGGAGUUGAAUGGAGUUGGGUAGCGUUUGGCAGUUGCAUUGAGGAAAAGUACAUUAAUUUUUUCUCCGUUUGCGGGUGAGUCGUGUCUUGUAGGAACAGACACCGAGAAAGAGUUCAUUGAUUUUGCAACUGAAGGAGCCACUGGACCAGUAUUUUCAUUCAUCAAUCCUUUCAUCUAGCCACCCUCCCUUGUCGGCAAUCUUCAAAUUAAGAUGCCACCAUUUUCCUUCUUCUCUCUUCAACCAUUAAUGCAGCCUUCACCAACUCUACAACACACCAAUUUCAAAUUUCCAUUUCAAUUUCUUGGCCUGCAAAAAAUAGGGUUAAUGGGUGUUCCGUGCAAUUUCCCGCAUUCUUCCACACAUAACGGCCAAAUGUCGAAACGAAAGCACACUGUAUGUUCCCUUUCCGAAACAAUGGAUGAUGGUAACAGGCAAAUUGUGUGUAUUUACUUCACUCCAUUUGAUUUGUUUUGCCAAAAGACACCUUCAACCGUUUCUUGGAGCCCACACCAAAAAAAAAAAAGCAUUACCCGGUCACUUGUUGACAUGAUUGAUUGUGAGUUUUAAGAUGCAGAAGGUGGCACUGGUGUGUGUGAGAUUAGACACCUACCUCAAUUAUUACUUACUCCGUGCUUCUCAUUUCUUUUCGCCUAACUCUGCCUUCUGCACUCUCUGCAUUCUGCGUUCUGCAACUGCAUUCUUUUUUUCUUUUCUUCUAACUUAAUUCUCAUCUUCAUAUCAUCUGUUUCAUCUAUUAAAAAACAGUAUUCACAACUCUUACAUUACCUACUUCGGUGCACUUUUUUUUGUUU